rnacentral:rRNA from 1 species
GAUGAACGCUGGCGGCGUGCCUAAUACAUGCAAGUCGAGCGAACGGACGAGAAGCCUGCUUCUCUGAUGUUAGCGGCGGACGGGUGAGUAACACGUGGAUAACCUACCUAUAAGACUGGGAUAACUUCGGGAAACCGGAGCUAAUACCGGAUGAUAUUUUGAACCGCAUGGUUCAAAAGUGAAAGACGGUCUUGCUGUCACUUAUAGAUGGAUCCGCGCUGCAUUAGCUAGUUGGUAAGGUAACGGCUUACCAAGGCAACGAUGCAUAGCCGACCUGAGAGGGUGAUCGGCCACACUGGAGCUGAGACACGGUCCAGACUCCUACGGGAGGCAGCAGUAGGGAAUCUUCCGCAAUGGGCGAAAGCCUGACGGAGCAACGCCGCGUGAGUGAUGAAGGUCUUCGGAUCGUAAAACUCUGUUAUUAGGGAAGAACAUAUGUGUAAGUAACUGUGCACAUCUUGACGGUACCUAAUCAGAAAGCCACGGCUAACUACGUG